GUCGGCAGACCCUUUUCACCGGGGCACGUGCCCCGUUGUGGAUCUGCGGUGCCUGGGUAUGCCUGGGGCACUGAUUUUUUAAUUAAUUAAUUUAUUUAUACCUUUAAUUUUUUUUUAUUUAAGUCUGACUCAUCUGGCAAUCUACAGAAUGCAUGCUAGCAUUUUUUUUUCUUAAAAUAGGCCUAUAGACUACCACUUUCGUUAGAAUUUAAGUCCGACAUACGGACAGAGUAAUUAGAAUCCACUUGCGGCCACUCGGAGCAUGUUGCAGCCGGAGAGUUGCCUGUAACACAGAGCCAGGAGUUGUCCAGCACAGCGUCAGCGACCAUUCACUCCGGCCGGCGUGAAGUGAAGUAAACAGUAAGCGUUACAUUUUUAUCCUCUGGAAGCAUAGAAUGUCUAACAAAUGUGUAUGCCUUUCAUCAAAUAAGGUGAAGGGGCGUCUCUGAAGUGGUGUUAUUAGCUAAUGUGGUCACGUCUGUCGUUAUGCUAUAGUAGCCAGACAGUUCGCUAAUAUAUUAAACUGUAGCGAUAACUGUUUAAGCUGGACCUGUUGAUCGGAGAAAGAUCACAAAUGUCGGGUUCACACUACAUGCCAUCUUAUGGUGUUUCUCGAUUCUUUACGUUCAUGUUUUCAGGGGGUGAUGAUCCCGUGAUGGGGUAUCCAAGUUGUCUUGUCAGCUUAGUUAGCUAGCUAUCGGCAUACUGUAUAAGACAUCUUCUCAAGUUGCCUGGAACCAAUGGCACCGAUGUUAUACUAGCGCAAUUUAUAACAGAAUACAACACUCGGAGGUGGAAGCUGUUUUGUACGCUGUUGCUUUUAAAAAUAGCCCAGUGCAUGCUUAAAUAAGCAGGCUGGCUUAAGCAGCUCAAGCACACGUUGGUCUCAAAGUUGAAAAUGAAUGAUUCUGAAAUUAUUCUCAUUCUGGUGUUUUCUGCUCGAGUAGGCCUACAGACAAAAGCACAGACAUUAAGGGGGCAUGAUGACAUACAGGUGGUUACUUUCAAGACAGUAGAAACAUAAUGUAGAAAAAACAAACAAUUGAUAGGUAUCAUUCAUAGCAUGCAUAUAGACGAAUGUCCUGUUUUUACUAUUCGUUUUUUUGGUGUGUCAGGUAUGUAGAGAGUUAUGGAAGAAGUAUGUUGUACUAGUAGGCUAUGUUAUUUUAUGAUCUUUUGCUGGCAUUGAAUUAUUUGUUAUCUCAGUGACCGGAACUAGAUAUAACAGCCUACUGUAUUAGUUAUGAUUUUGAUCUCAAUUCAACUCAAACAACAUUGUUCUUGUAGAUGGACAUCAGAAAGUUAUUCGCUCGGAGCAGGGAUAAAGCAGCAAGGAGAAAUGAGAGAGCUACGCUAGGUAACAAGGCAAUGCAAACCACUUUUAGGUAACAACCCAGUUGAGUUGACCACUGGUCACUAGCCCAAGCCUAACAGUUACAUAUCUGUCCAGACAAAGAGGAGCAGCAGAGUGCCGGAGGAGGUGACGGAGGAGUUGAAGGAAAAGGUGAAGGAGAGAGGGAUGUUGAUGAGCACGAGCAGAGCUGCAGUUGUGAAAGGACAUUCAGCGUACUGAGACGCCUUCACACUUGGUUGAGGAGCACAAUGGGGCAAGAUAGGCUUCAUCAUCUUGCCAUCAUGUCGGUUGAGCGAGGAGAACUCUCCAAAUUAAGCCAGUCACAAUUGAUCGACAGCUUCGCAAAAAUGAAGCAGAGGCGCUACCGUUUACUGUUAAAAAAAUGAACAGCUCCCCUAUCUUUCUGGCCAUGAUAUACACACCUCAUAGGAUCAUCACCAUCACACAUAGGAUGGUCUGAAAUAGAAAUGAUAAACACAGACAUGUAUGUAUGUAGAGGUGUUUUUUUGUUUUUCCUUUUACAGUUGCACAUUUCAAGUUUUCAGUUUUCAAGUUCAUGUUUGCUGACAGAUAUUUAUUCAUGUUUGAUGAAGAUACGCUUUAUGAUAAUAAAUAAGUGCUAUAAAAUA